GUGCUUGCUCAGGCAGCACAUAUGACAAAAUUGGAACGAUACAGAGAAGAUUAGCAUGGCCCCCCCCGAGGGGUCGACACGCGCAAAUUCGUGAAGCGUUACCACAUUUU